ACGACUGGUAAUCUGUGUCACGCCUGCGGUAACACCGGCAGCCCAAGUGGUAGCCACGAUUAUUGGGUCUAAAAGCGUCCGUAGCCGGCCAGGUAAAGUUCUUUGGGAAAUUUAACCGCUCAACGGUUAAGCUUUUCAGGGGAAAUACUGCUUGGCUUGGGACCGGGAGAGGUCAGAGGUACUUCAAGGGUAGGGGUGAAAUCCGUUAAUCCUUGAGGGGACCACCAGUAGCGAAGGCGUCUGAGCCAGACCGGGUCCGACGGUGAGGGACGAAGGCUAGGGUCGCGAACCGGAUUAGAUACCCGGGUAGUCCUAGCUGUAAACGAUGCGGGCCAGGUGUUGGCAUUACUGCGAGUGAUGUCAGUGCCGAAGGGAAGCCGUUAAGCCCGCCAUCUGGGGAGUACGGUCGCAAGGCUGGAAACUUAAAGGAAUUGGCGGGGGGAGCACCACAACGGGUGGAGCCUGCGGUUCAAUUGGAUUCAACGCCGGGAAACUCACCGGAGGCGACAGCAAGAUGAAGGUCAGGCUGAAGACCUUACCGGAUUAGCUGAGAGGUGGCGCAUGGCCGUCGACAGUUCGUGUCGUGAAACAUCCUGUUAAGUCAGGCAACGGGCGAGACCCGCGCUCACAGUUGCCAGCAUCUCCGUAAGGAGGAUGGGAACUCUGUGAGGACUGCCGCCGCUAAGGUGGAGGAAGAAGCGGGCCACGGUAGGUCAGUAUGCCCCGAAUCCUCCGGGCUACACGCGUGCUACAAUGGAUAGUACAAUGAGUAUCGACCCCGAAAGGGGAAGGUAAACCCCUAAAACUAUCCUUAGUUGGGAUCGAGGGCUGCAACUCGCCCUCGUGAACCUGGAAUCCGUAGUAAUCGCAUCUCAAAAUGGUGCGGUGAAUAUGUCCCUGCUCC
rnacentral:rRNA from 1 species